rnacentral:lncRNA from 1 species
GUGACUUUAUUGAACAAGCACUGAUGCAGUGAGUAUAUCUUCUCUAAAGAUUUUCUCAGUUUAAGAUUCCCCCAGUUAGUCUCUCUAGAGGGAAGGUGCAGGAUCAAAGGAUGUAAACAUACCGUGGCUUUUGCUACAUCGCCAGGCUGUUUUCCAGAAGGGCUGCACUAAUUUCCACUCUGACUAGCAAUGAAAGAGAGUGUUUCAUCACGCCUUUGGCAAUACGGGGUGUUAUCAUUUUCUCAAAUCUGGGCUGAUUUAGUAGGCAAACAUUUGCAUCUUGUCUUAAUUUUCAUUCCUUUGAUAACUAAUGAGAAGGAACAUCUUUUGUGAAUUGUUCAUUCCUAUCUUCUAACCAUCCCUUUAGCAUUUGGCGUCUUCAGAGUGUUUUGGAUGGAGUUGCGUAAGACCGUCUUCCCAGGACUGAGCUUUUGAGCCAUCACGUAUCCUCCAUGGAGUGUGGUGCUGAAACAAGAGGAAGACAAAGAGGACCAAAGCCAGUGUUUCAUUCCACUGAACAUUCGAUGAGCCUUCACUCUGUGAUGGGUGCUAAGCCAAGCAGUGUGUGUCCAUUGUCUCAUUCAACCUCAACAUUUCCUCUCUGAGGUGGGUAUAUUACCAGGCCUCUAACAGAUGAGAAAAACUGAGACCCAGGAAGGUUAUUUGUCCCAGGGCACACAGCUAGUAUGUGGCAGAAUGAGAAUUUGUACCCUCAUGCCUCUGGCCCCAAAGCCCGAGUCUUUCCUUUCCAUUUUACAUUACUCUUCCUCAUAGUGUAGAACCUGGGAGA